CGGCCUCAGAGGGGACUCUUGCUGCUGCAGAGCAGAUGCACGUAGAUGAUCUUUCUGCCACUCAAGACAAGAACAAAUUGUCUCAGUGGGAUCAAGACAGCUGUAAUAUUGACCAUAAAAACCCUCCAUGAACAAGUCUCCCACC